rfam:Lactobacillus oligofermentans DSM 15707 = LMG 22743 strain DSM 15707 NODE_4, whole genome shotgun sequence.
AAUAACUUUAAUUUAGUCCAGUGAGGCUGAGAAGUAAACCGGCAGAAAUGUACAGGAACCUCUUAGUGAAAACUGAGAGGUUCUAUUUUU